CCUACGGGAGGCAGCAGCCGCGGUAAUACGUAGGGUGCGAGCGUUAAUCGGAAUUACUGGGCGUAAAGCGUGCGCAGGCGGUUUUGUAAGUCGGAUGUGAAAUCCCCGGGCUCAACCUGGGAACUGCGUUCGAAACUGCAAGGCUAGAGUGUGUCAGAGGGGGGUAGAAUUCCACGUGUAGCAGUGAAAUGCGUAGAGAUGUGGAGGAAUACCAAUGGCGAAGGCAGCCCCCUGGGAUAACACUGACGCUCAUGCACGAAAGCGUGGGGAGCAAACAGGAUUAGAUACCCUGGUAGUCCACGCCCUAAACGAUGUCAACUAGUUGUUGGUAGAGUAAAAUCUAUGAGUAACGUAGCUAACGCGUGAAGUUGACCGCCUGGGGAGUACGGUCGCAAGAUUAAAACUCAAAUGAAUUGACGG
rnacentral:rRNA from 1 species